GACAGAGGGUGCUAGCGUUGUUCGGAAUUACUGGGCGUAAAGGGCGCGUAGGCGGCUCGUUUAGUCGGGUGUGAAAUCCCGGGGCUCAACCCCGGAACUGCAUUCGAUACUGGCGGGCUAGAGACCGGAAGAGGUGGGUGGAAUACCCAGUGUAGAGGUGAAAUUCGUAGAUAUUGGGAAGAACACCGGUGGCGAAGGCGGCUCUCUGGACCGAUACUGACGCUGAGGCGCGAAAGCGUGGGGAGCAAACAGG
rnacentral:rRNA from 1 species